rnacentral:rRNA from 1 species
GAUAUGGCUCAGGACGAACGCUGGCGGCGUGCCUAAUACAUGCAAGUAGAACGCUGAAGAGAGGAGCUUGCUCUUCUUGGAUGAGUUGCGAACGGGUGAGUAACGCGUAGGUAACCUGCCUUGUAGCGGGGGAUAACUAUUGGAAACGAUAGCUAAUACCGCAUAACAAUGGAUGACCCAUGUCAUUUAUUUGAAAGGGGCAAAUGCUCCACUACAAGAUGGACCUGCGUUGUA